rnacentral:misc_RNA from 1 species
AUCUUCUUAUUUCCAUAGUAUCAACAAAUUGAAUAUCACGGUUUGGUGAGUCAACGGUAUAAAGUAGCCAGCGGUAUCAGUGUCAAUAGGUCAUAUCUUUCUUCUGCUGGGUUAAAUAGACGGUAGGUUUUGGGUGCCGAAAGAGGAAUGCGUCUUUGGAGUAUGACUGAUAUCGUAUAUAAUUCACUGCGUCAAACAUUAGAGAGCCGUAAGAAAUCCGCGAUGAUGAACGUGCACUCGCAGUUAUCAAUGUUGUACUAAACCACGCUACAUGAUGGGAAUAACAUGUACCCGACCGCUGAAGAAGAAACAGCCAGACCAAACACACAACAAUAAAUACGUUAAAAAUACGACUGAAGGCGAAAAUGUUCAACCGCUGAUCCACAUCACCACGGUCUCAACAAGUAGCGAUCAGAAUGUCGACGGUGAUCAAAAUGGAUUCAAAAGAAGUCGAGACUUCACACGACCUCGACCGAAAUCUAUGGAUGACUAUACCGAAACUGCUUCUGCACUGGCCUUAUCAAAACUUCAUCAUCUUCUUCAUCAGUUGGAAGAUGGAGAGAUCAAUUCUGUGACUGAGAUGAAGGAUGAAUUAAGUCAGGCAAUUGCCAUGAUGGACAUCGCAUCGGCGAAUACACGUGACUACAGAGGUUCACUUAGUGCGAUUAGUGAUAUCGACGAAGAGCUGUAUUGCAAUGUAGUUAGUGACGAGGUUCGUGAAUGGAUUGCAACUACCUUUGCUCGUGGUCAGGGUACAUCGAGAAGAAAAAGUAUUCUCCCGCGUCACACAUUUCGAGGUGUUGUCCAUGCUGUUAAGGCCAGUCUGUAUGUUCACAAGAUUUUAAAAAAUGUAUCCGACCGCAAUAGACUUCAAAUUCCACAGGAAAUUCAGGUACACUUUGAGAAACUCAACCGAUGGACGUUCGAUGUUUUUUCAUUCAGUGAAGCCACCGAUGGUCACUCGUUGAAGUAUAUNGGCUUCGAGGUACUUAGUCGACUAGAUCUUUUAAGGACAUUCAAGGUGAACGAUGUUACUCUGGAUCGAUUUUUACAAGCUGUAGAGGAAGGUUAUAAAAAGAAUUGCAAUCCCUAUCACAACGAAAUGCAUGCUAGUGACGUNACGCAUACUGUAUUCUACUUUAUCACGGUUCUUGGUUUAGGACAAAGUCUUUCAGAUCUGGAGGUAUUCGCUAUUCUUCUUUCUGCUAUGAUUCAUGACCUAGAACACACGGGAACAACAAAUGCUUUUCACAUAAACUCAAGAUCUGACCUUGCUUUAAUGUACAAUGAUCGCUCAGUUCUGGAAAACCAUCAUAUAAGUUCUGCAUUCAAGAUAUUACAAGACAACGAUAGAAAUAUUUUGUCCAAUUUAAAUUCAAACCAAUACAGUACUCUUCGGUCUCUCCUUAUAGACAUGGUGCUUGCAACCGACAUGUCUUCACAUUUUGAACAGCUUCGCCUGAUGAAGUUAGCAUUAGUGAAUGGAAGCCCGCUUGAGAGUGAAGAUGUAAUUCAACUGAUUUUGCAUGUAGCAGAUAUCAGUAAUCCUACCAAAGACUGGAACAUUCACCAGCAGUGGACAGAAAAAGUUAUGGAGGAAUUUUUUACACAAGGGGAUAUGGAAAAGGAACUUGGUCUUGACGUUUCACCGCUUUGUGAUCGCUCAGUCACACGCGUUCCAGAGAGCCAAGUUGGAUUUCUAGACGUAAUUGUUACUCCAGCAUUUGAANUGUGCAGUGAGGUUUUAGAGGGUUUUUUGAGAGAUAAUGGUAACCACCAUGUUACAAGUAAAGAGCUGGAUCAUCCCUGGUCGAAACCAUUAGCUUACAAUAGAAGGAAAUGGAAGGAACAGUGUCAGGUUAUAAACAAAGGCUCAACUCUUAGUAUAUGCAGUAGGAAUUCGACGACAAACUUACACGAUCAGUUUCAAGACGAUCCUAGUAGACGCAGCCCUCGUGGAAAUAGAAAACGGCUUACACCCAUCUCGUGAUAAUACGAUUGCUUGAUAAACUAUUAUACAUAAAUGGUGAAUUAACCGAGGACACGAAUAAUACUACAGAUUCACNACUGAUAACCAUAAAGUGCGGAUAUACUAAGGGAAGAGUUUAAACUACGUGAUUCUACGAAUAACAAGAAUUCUUAGCUCGGUGGCUGGCUGGUAGAACACCCAAGGAAAGAUCUACAAUAGAACAACAUUCAUGUAUUGACGGGCUAAACUAUUUUAACCGGCUUAAUUUGAUCUUGAAUGCUACAUUGAAUUCACUCAAUGAACACAAUGAUAGAAUAUAUAGAACACAUAUUGUUGUAUUAUCAUCUCAGUACUGAGAUGGUGAGUGGGUAGGGGGUAGGGGGGUAGGGGUAGUACUAUUCUUCCUUUUAAGAGNACACCAAUGAUAGUGGGGGAGGGGUGGGGCAUCUUGAUUCGUAUCACUUAUACGUACUCGGCCGUACNCACUGGCGGCUUAUUUUUCUUAAAGUUCGACUUGUGUUUUACUGUUGGCGACAAUGAAAAUUAAAACAAAANUGAUCAUGAAUUGAAGGGUGACAUGGUAGAAAGGGCGAUAAUUCCGAUGCCAUGGUUAUACACGAUAUCUUUCCAUGGUUAUACUACUCAGUUGUCAGCGAAUGAGACNUGGGGUUUGUUAGUGUUAUUUUCCCAUAUUUUCUUAUUAAAUUGCCCAAUUUUAA